CGGCCGGGUGAGUAAUGUCUGGGAAACUGCCCGAUGGAGGGGGAUAACUACUGGAAACGGUAGCUAAUACCGCAUAACGUCGCAAGACCAAAGAGGGGGACCUUCGGGCCUCUUGCCAUCGGAUGUGCCCAGAUGGGAUUAGCUAGUAGGUGGGGUAACGGCUCACCUAGGCGACGAUCCCUAGCUGGUCUGAGAGGAUGACCAGCCACACUGGAACUGAGACACGGUCCAG
rnacentral:rRNA from 1 species